rfam:Nomascus leucogenys chromosome 9, whole genome shotgun sequence.
GCUGGGCAUGAUGGCACAUGCCUGUAAUCCCAGCUACUCAGGAGGCUGAGGCAGGAGAAUCACUUGAACCCAGGAGGAGGAGAUUGCAGUGAGCUGAGAUCAGGCCACUGCACUCCAGCCUGGGCGACAGAGUGAGACUCUGUCUCAA